rnacentral:rRNA from 1 species
UACGGGGGGGGCAAGCGUUGUUCGGAAUUACUGGGCGUAAAGGGCUCGUAGGCGGCCAACUAAGUCAGACGUGAAAUCCCUCGGCUUAACCGGGGAACUGCGUCUGAUACUGGAUGGCUAGAGGUUGGGAGAGGGAUGCGGAAUUCCAGGUGUAGCGGUGAAAUGCGUAGAUAUCGGUAGGAACACCAGUGGCGAAGGCGGUCUCCUGGAGCAGACUUGACGCUGAGGCGCGAAAGCUGGGGGAGCGAACGGG